rnacentral:rRNA from 1 species
AACGAACGCUGGCGGCAGGCUUAACACAUGCAAGUCGAGCGCCCCGCAAGGGGAGCGGCAGACGGGUGAGUAACGCGUGGGAACGUACCAUUUGCUACGGAAUAACUCAGGGAAACUUGUGCUAAUACCGUAUGUGCCCGAAAGGGGAAAGAUUUAUCGGCAAAUGAUCGGCCCGCGUUGGAUUAGCUAGUUGGUGGGGUAAAGGCCUACCAAGGCGACGAUCCAUAGCUGGUCUGAGAGGAUGAUCAGCCACACUGGGACUGAGACACGGCCCAGACUCCUACGGGAGGCAGCAGUGGGGAAUAUUGGACAAUGGGCGCAAGCCUGAUCCAGCCAUGCCGCGUGAGUGAUGAAGGCCCUAGGGUUGUAAAGCUCUUUCACCGGUGAAGAUAAUGACGGUAACCGGAGAAGAAGCCCCG